AAUUGACGGGGCCCGCACAAGCGGUGGAGCAUGUGGUUUAAUUCGAAGCAACGCGAAGAACCUUACCAGGUCUUGACAUCCCCUGACAACCCAAGAGAUUGGGCGUUCCCCUUCGGGGGACAGGGUGACAGGUGGUGCAUGGUUGUCGUCAGCUCGUGUCGUGAGAUGUUGGGUUAAGUCCCGCAACGAGCGCAACCCUCGCCUCUAGUUGCCAGCAUUCGGUUGGGCACUCUAGAGGGACUACCGGCGACAAGUCGGAGGAAGGUGGGGAUGACGUCAAAUCGUCAUGCCCCUUAUGACCUGGGCUACACACGUGCUACAAUGGGCGGUACAAAGGGCAGCGACACAGCGAUGUGAAGCGAAUCCCGAAAAGCCGGUCUCAGUCCGGAUUGGAGUCUGCAACUCGACUCCAUGAAGUUGGAAUCGCUAGUAAUCGCGGAUCAGCACGCCGCGGUGAAUACGUUCCCGGGCCUU
rnacentral:rRNA from 1 species